rnacentral:rRNA from 1 species
AUCCUACGGGGCGCAGCAGUGGGGAAUAUUGCACAAUGGGCGAAAGCCUGAUGCAGCAACGCCGCGUGAAGGAAGAAGGGUUUCGGCUCGUAAACUUCUAUUAACAGGGACGGAAGAAAUGACGGUACCUGAAUAAGAAGCCCCGGCUAACUACGUGCCAGCAGCCGCGGUAAUACGUAGGGGGCAAGCGUUAUCCGGGAUUACUGGGUGUAAAGGGUGAGUAGGCGGCAUGGUAAGCCAGAUGGGAAAGGCUUGGGCUUAACCCGAGGGUUGGAUUUGGAACUAUCCAGCUAGAGGACAGGGGA